GAUCAUAGUGCCUGGAAUGGCUUAUGGUCCAAACAGUUUACUGCCAUGGGAUGGGACUGCGGCCUAUCAGCUUGUUGGUGAGGUAAUGGCCCACCAAGGCGAUUACAGGUACGGGCUCUGAGAGGAGAAGCCCGGAGAUGGGUACUGAGACACGGACCCAGGCCCUAUGGGGCGCAGCAGGCGAGAAACCUUAGCAAUGUGCGAAAGCACGACUGGGUCAGUCCGAGUGAUUCCUGAUAAAGGAGUCUUUUGCCUGUCCUAAAAACACAGGUGAAUAAGGGGUGGGCAAGUCUGGUGUCAGCCGCCGCGGUAAUACCAGCACCUCGAGUGGUCAGGACGUUUAUUGGGCCUAAAGCAUCCGUAGCCCGGCGCUGCAAGUCUUCGGUUAAAUCCACCUGCUCAACAGAUGGGCUGCUGGAGAUACUACAGCGCUAGGGAGUGGGAGAAGCAGACGGUAUUCAGUGGGUAGGGGUAAAUCCUCUGAUCAUGAGACCACCAGUGGCGAAGGCGGUCUGCAGACACGUUCGACGGUGAGGGAUGAAAGCUGGGGGAGCAAACCGAAUAAGAUACCGGGUCAGUCCCAGCUUGUAACGAUGCAAC
rnacentral:rRNA from 1 species